CGCCAUUCUCCUGCCUCAGCCUCCCGAGUACGCGGGACCACAGGCGCCUGCCAUCAUGCCCGGCUAAUUUUUUUUUGUUUGUUUUUGUUUUUUUGUAUUGUUAGUAGAGACGGGGUUUCACCAUGUUAGCCAGGAUGGUCUUGAUGUCCUGACCUCGUGACCCGCCCGCCUCGGCCUCCCAAAGUGCGAAUGAAAGCUUUAAGAGGGCUGCUUGUUUCUGGCAGCUCUCAGGUUCUUCCUGUCUGCCUCAGAAGUGGCAUAUUCCACAUACGGGCUGCAUCUUCAGUCUGGACUCAUCCUCUUCAAGAUGAGACAGGUGGAGCAGAGCUGCCACCAACCUCCGGUGAUUUCCACACAAUGUGUCCUAGAAGAAGAGACCCUACACUGGGCUUGUGACCAGCGGAAACUGAAUCAAUGCUGGAGACACAUUCUAACAGUCGAAUGGGCAGCUCACAGGAGGAAAAUCUGGAUAAGUGAUUCAUCUAUGAAGGGGAUGCACUAUAAUGGUUGGAAAGCCAAAGAUCAAGUUGCCAGCAGAUUUGAUGUCUGAUGAGAGUUGCUGUCUGUCCCCAAGAUGUAGCCUUGUUACUGCAUACUCUGGAUGGAAAGGACACUGGGUCCUCACAAG
rnacentral:lncRNA from 1 species